AGCGAACGCUGGCGGCAGGCCUAACACAUGCAAGUCGAACGAACCCUUCGGGGUUAGUGGCGGACGGGUGAGUAACAUGUGGGAACGUGCCUUUAGGCUCGGAAUAAUACUUGGUAACUUGUGCUAAUAUCGGAUGUGUUAUUCUGGGGCAAGAUUUAUCGUCUUUAGAGCGGCCCGCGUUGGUUUAACCAGGUGGUUGUGGUUAUGGCUCACUAAGGUUACGUAAAGUACAUGGUCAGAGAGGAAGAUCAGCCACAUUGGGACUGGGACGCGGUCCAAAAUCCUACAGGAGGCGGGAGUGGGGGAUCUAGCGAAAUCGGCGGAAGGCUGACGCAGCCAGGCUUGGUGAAUGAUGAAGGUCUGAGGGUAGUGAAGUUCUUUAACCCCCCACGAUACUGACGGUACCCGAAGAAGAAGCCCCGGCUAACUUCGUG
rnacentral:rRNA from 1 species